GAUGAAGAACGUAGCGAAAUGCGAUACGUAAUGUGAAUUGCAGAUCUCUCAGUGAACCAUCGAAUCUUUGAACGCACAUUGCGCCCGCCAGCACUCUGGCGGGCAUGCCUGUCCGAGCGUCACUUGACCAAUCAGCGCCCCUCCAAAGGGGCGCUGGCGUUGGGUAUCGGCCGCCCCCCGCGGCGACCGUCCCCCAAAUACAGUGGCGGCCCGGCGUGAGCCCCCCUGCGCAGUAGCGAUGCGACGCAGAGGGUGCCGCGCCGGCGCCCGCCGUGAAACCCCCAACUCACUAGGUUGACCUCGGAUCAGGUAGGACUACCCGCUGAACUUAAGCAUAUCAAUAAGCGGAGGA
rnacentral:misc_RNA from 1 species